CACAACUUGUAACAAAUUCACAAAGUGGCUAAGUAGAGUCUCUUCUCAAUUGGAGUGUCUGAUUUUACUGUGCAUUUCUUUGGGGCAUUUGAGAUUUGUACAUUUUUCUUUAAUAGAAGUUUCUAUAUUCCAUAUAUUACUUGCCCUACAAUCAUAAUUCCAUUGCCCCAGGAUAAAGCACUACCUAAUUGCAAGUAAUCUUCUUGCUCAUUUGUUGCAUGUUUAUUUCAAAUAACUUAUGCUUGGGGAAAACUUUCAUGUGCUUUGUAAAAUCCCCAGAUUGAGUUCAUAGUUGCAGGUAUCUAAAGAUUUGCCUUUGAAGACCUCAGGGAUUGAAUGAAAUACCAGAAGCUAUGCCCCAAAAUACAACCACUUUUGUUUUCUUGUGUUUGUAAUAAACAGUGUUAGAAUCAGACCCAAUUAACCCAGACUAUUUUUUAAUCUUUCUUUGGUCAGACGAAUCACAUUAAACAUGAUAUUAGAAAAAAAAACUUCUUUAAUGGGAAAUUUUACGAUUGAAAUGAUGUUUCAUCUUAUAGACCACAAACAAAUGUUUUUAGACAUUGAAAAGUGGUUAAAGACCAACUGCGCCCAGUCCCCCAAGUGCCAUUUUCUGAGUGCAGAAUGGAGGGUGACGUCUUGAGCUGAUGCUGUGUCCCCAGCAUCAGGUUUUCUGUUUUCCCUCUUCUCCCUUUAUUCCUUCCUUGUCCAUUGCCCUCAACCUUCUUUUUCUGUUUGCUCUGGCCUGGUUCAGUAUAACAUAUCCAUGAACUCUAGUAUGGGCCUACGGACAAUCAUAGCUACAAUCAGACUUUCUAAGCAAAUGGGAAUGUGAUAUACAUAUAACCAUUAGAAACCCUAUCAUCACCUCCUAGAGGGGAAGUGAAUUUCUUAAUUUUUUUAGUUGCAAGAGUCACUUCUUAGCCAACUGACUAGAGAAUGCAGAAUGAACAGGGGAGGAAGGAGCUGAUGGCACAGCCUUAGAACAGUAACCAGAACACACCCCCAUCAAGUGUCACCUCCAGGAAGGCGCCCCACCCCCAUCCUCCGUUUUCUGGGCUCAUAUUUAGGUAAAGCUCUAAGACUCCUGAGCCAACUUUUAUGUAACUGGCUUUCCUAGGCUGGGGCUUGAACUAAGUAAAGAAGCCAAGGAGUUCAGAUCUAGAUAGCAGAGAAGUAAGUCUCAUUCUAAAACAUUGCAACUACUGUUAGAGUCCACCCCAUGAAGCUGUUUCAGAUUGUGUAUCUUUGACUGAAUUCUAUAAGUAUAUAUUGUUCAGACUAAAACAAAUGUUGCUAGCUAGGUUGGCUGUGCUGUCUCAGUAGGACAUUGACAGACUCCAGCUUUCACCCUCUGGAGACCUUGGACCUAAGUGCCACAUGCAUUAUGAGACCUGGUCCAGGAGCUGUCCUGCCAUGGCUAGCUCACGGCUUGACAGCAAUACUUCUUCUCCUUCUCCGCCCAGCAUAGACUUGGUCACCUGAAAGUUAGAAGAUCAGUAGGAAGUUAAAACAUAUCUUGUGGCCUGUGGGGAUCUUGGCUUGGGCAAUUAUGGCAACCGUGACUACUGCAAAGAUGGCUUCAAAGGUGAAAUCUUUUGUAAGACUACAUUUAUUUAACUUGUUUGCCCCAUUUCAACACCAGCUUGGUUCUCCUUUUCCUCCCUGCUUUGACACUCUCCUUUUCUUCCUCACUGUGAAUGGGAUUGUUAUGCAAAUUCUGCUUUUGGCAGUGUCUGCCUGGAGUAAUUGGCAUUUGCCUGAAUUUCUCAGGCUUGCUCUGGAACAAAUCACCUGCUUCUCUAAUGAGCGUCAGCCUUGCAGCCCUCCAGAACAUGCAAAACGUGGAGCAGUCAACACUUACCUUUGUCUCCUUUUUCUCCCUUGUGUCCUCGAGGGCCAGGUGGCCCAGGAUGACCUGGUGGCCCAGCAGGGCCCCUGUCACCUGGAAGGAAAAAUGGGGCGUAACUAAGUAAUACAUGAGUCUGGGGACUGAGGGCACAGGUAGCCGGUGUGGCACCAGCACAGGAGCUGCUUUUCAGUACGAGGUGGGUGUUAACACAGGAUCCAGGGACUGGCUCUCUGCCACCACUUACCUUUGGGUCCUGGAGUGCCCAUCUCUCCUUUUUGCCCAGGGGGUCCUUGAAUGGCUCCAUAAGCUGCAAAAGCAAGGAAACACUGGCCUUAGAGUCUUGAUCACCUGGAAGCUUGGGACAUCAAGUCAUUUGUUCAGAGUAACACAGAGAGAUAGUGAUGGAGUUUGGACGUGUAAGAGGAAACAAAGUUCAGAAUUUAUAGAAUUUGUCUAAUUUUGAGCAUCUCAAAUGUUAAUAACUGGAGAUUUCUCAUGAGACUGGUGUCUCUGGAGCAGACCCGUGGGAACCUAUGCAGUGAGGCAGGUGCUGGGAAAGCAGUUGGAUGCCCUUACUUUGGAAGAAGUCCAUGAGGUCCGCAGUCACGUUGCUGUAGGCAGAGAAGACCUUGCUGAUGCCGGGUGGCCCCUGUGGCCCAGGCUGGCCUGGUGGGCCCUGGACAGUGUAGGCCAUCCCUUGCAGUAGGCCCUGACCUGUAAAACACCAGAGCUUGGGCACAGGAAGCAGGGAUCUCCCAGUACCCUCUUCAGCAGGAGCACAGUGCCCUCCGAGUGUCAAACUCCCAAAGCAGUUGAACUAGAUCAAGCCGCAGCAAGGGUGAAGCCCUCCAACUUCCUUUGUAUUCCACUGUGUGACUGGCACAGGUCUCUUCCUGCUGUGGGCCGGCAUCAAAAGCUUGUUGACUGCGUAACUGUGCCGUUAAGCUGCGCGGGGAAAGGACUCUUAGCCAACAUCCUUCUCUCGGCCCCAGCAGAAAAUCCAGCAUGGUCAUAUGACUCAUCUGGGACCCAGAACGAGCUAGGUGUUGGGAAAACAAAGUACAAAGCCCCCAGCGUGCUCUGUUCCCCACAGCUCGGGUCCCAGGACUGGGGCUCCUUAAGCUGAGUAGGCUGAGAGCUAGGCUGGGGCUGCCUGUCCCCUCCAGCCCCUGCCUGCUUGAUUCUGUCUUCACAGCCUGGGGGUUCCACAAACAAGAAAGCCAGUCUGGAGAUGCUCCCACGCUCCUUCCCCCCAGCACCAAGGCCUAAAUGUCCCCACUUACGCUGCAUGCUCUCUGACACCCUCACAGCCAGCUCAUUGUAAUCCAGAUCUCCAGCAAAGUCAGCUCCCAAUAGUCCGCCAUUGCCAGCAUACAUGCCGCCUUCUGCUGCUGCCCCAUAGCCUCCGCCUGGGCCGAUGUCAGUGCCAUAGGGACCCCUGUCUCCUGCAGCUUCACCAAAGGCACCGCCUGCACCCAGGGAGCCUGCACCACCUCCUCCUGUGCUCAUGGAAGAGCUGUAGGAGCUGCCCCGCCUGACAGAUGAGCUGUGUGAGGAGGAGCUGCUACCCCGACUGUGGGAGGCAUCCGUGGACAGGAGGCGGCUGUCCCCAGGGGGUCCCUGCGGCCCAGGAGGGCCUGGGGGGCCAACAAUGAAGCUGCGCACAUCAGGACCUGCAGGGUGACUCACGCUGCAGCACAGCCAGAAUGUCUUCAGAAGAGAUGGAGGACGAGAACAAGCUGACACCGUACCCCGAAGCUGUCGGGAAGAAAACCUCAGGUUACCUGCUUAGCAGGUACUGAAGCAACACCCUCACUAUUCCAGAAUCUGAAAGGCCCGGUCACCGAGCUGUUUGUCUUUGGGGGAAGUGGAUGAAUGGAGUAUUACGAGGCUAUUUUGAAAGCAUAACAAAGUCAAAUACUGUUGUUGGGAUUUUUUUUUUUUUUGUAAGAAAGGAAGUUUAUUUUUGAGAACAUGCUUUAGCCUAAUGCCUGCCAGAUGCUGCCAACCUUCAUGCACAGGUGGGAAGAACCUAUAAUUAGGAACACAUUAGUCAAUUGCCGGAAGGCUCACUCGGUGUCUCUCCAGCGUGGCCGCCCUGAAUCUGGACAGACCCUUGUUGACACUGUAUCCCAGUGGCCCGAUUAUUAUGAAUUCGGAAUUAAAACUCAUGUUCCAGAGAAGGGCAAAGCAAACAGCAAACGAGGAGAUGAGGCUCUGGGAGCAAAAGCAGACCCACAGGAGGAAGGUGCCAGGUGCAGGGCGUGGGGAAGGGCUUACUCCGUAAGUAGCUCACAACGUGGCUUGCCAGCUCUGAGUAGUCGAAAGUCUCGCCUGUGAUGGUGGUGACAGGUCCUGGGGGACCAGGUGGGCCUGGGGGACCCUGAACUCCGGAUAGGUAAGAUCUAAUACUGUCACCUGCCGACCAAGGAACAAAGCAAAGUCAAGCCUGUCCCAAGAGGACAUGUUCUCCCCACGGAGGUGACCUGAAGCACAUGAUAACAUGCCUGCCCCGCCCCACACAUGGGCCCAAGGCUGGGCCAGGAGGGAGCCUAGACUUCCCCUCACUGUCCUUCCCCUAAAUUACAGAUGGAGAAACUGAGGCAGAGGCCUGAGCUGGGUCAAGUGGCCCAUGAGGGCUGUGGGCCAGCAAGACUCCAGCCAGCCACCCAUUUGACAAAUGAGCACAUGCAAGGUGUGGUGUGAAAGCAUGUGCGUGUAGGGGAUGAGCACGUGCGCCAGCCUCCUCCCCAGGGUGUGGGCGAGGUGAGGCUGUGUCGGGGGCAGCUAUGAGAAGGCUGGUGUUGGGGAGCUCAUAGGCCUGUAGGCCUGGCUCUGCAGGGGGAAGACCUGGGCCUGGACACAUAGACACACACACACACACACACACACACACACACACACACUCCCACUGCCCUACAUCGUCCCAUGUCUCUUAGCCUCAUUUCUGUGAUGAUACCACAGCUCCCUUGCAAAGAGACUGUAUCUCCAUGUUCUUGUCCCCACGGCUUGCGGCGGCCAGCUACUCACUCUGCAUGUACUCAGAGAUGUACUGCUGAAUCUCCUGGCCAGAGCUGCUGAUAGAGCCCGGAGGCCCAGGGGGCCCAGGGGGCCCUGGCGGGCCUGACACGUACAUGGUACUUGAUGAUCCCCCUGCAGCAAAGAGAAAGCGUCCUGUGUCGGUUUCUCCACCCUAGGGUCAGACAAACGGGCCCAGGAAUAGCUUCCAUGGUCUGAGGAGGGAGGGUCUUCUCAGGAGGAGAAAUAGGAUAGUGGCAAGGAGAAGGGUCCCCGAGAAGAGAAGAAAGGACAGCCUGUAACAGCCACUGUCUGAAAGUGGCACAGAGCUAGGAAGCUGCCCCAGGCCAAACCGCCCUUUCCUUCUGCAACCUGCUGAAGGACCCCCAACAUCGCAUCCCCCUUCUCUCAACUCCCCAGCACCCUGGGUCUGUCUGUUCUCCAUCAUGCGGUGUCUGCAUUGUUAGGUAUCAUUAUAUGUACCUGGGUCCUUCCCCUCAACCCAAUAACUCGUAACCUCCUUAAAGGCAGCUCAUAGGUCCUAGCACAUGGAGAAGACAGCCAAUCAACAACGAAUCAUGGAGAAAUGAAUGAACGAAUAGAGCAACAUCCUCACUGGAAUGAUCAGCCUUCACCAGAAGAAGUGGAGAGGAACUUUGGUCACUUUCAGUUCUUACCUUCAGAAGGACCACUAGGAAUGCCAAGAGCCCCUGGAACACCUGGAUCACCUGGAAUCCAAAAUGAGAAGUUUGCCUCACCUCCUCCAGGAAGCCUUCCCUGGUUAAGCCAAACCACACUUAUUAGUGUGUGUCUCAACAAUCGUCCCAUGUCUCUUGGCCUCCUUUUUGUAAUAAUACCACAGCUCCCUUGUACAGAGGCUAUAUCACCAUGUCCUUGUCCCUUCCACCCUCUGGCCUUUCCUUCCUCCAGCCUCUUCUCUCUCCCAAGACUUUACACUGAUGAGUACUUGCUGCCAUCUCUUCAGGCUCUGGGCUCUGGGCACCAGGCUCACCCCUACUCCUCACCACCUUCUCACUGCUCCCUCACUGACCUUUGUCACCUUUGGGUCCCUGGGGGCCAGGUGGGCCUGGUGGUCCCUGAAGGUUGAGUCCGAAAGAACUGGACCCUGGAAGCCAACAACACACACAGUGCAGUCAGCCAGGGUUUGGAGAGGCUCUGGCCAGAGCCAGAAUGGGGCGGGGUUCAGCCCUUACCUGAGGUUGAGAAACCUGGGAGGCCUUGCUCGCCUGAGGAACACACCAAGGGAGGGACAGUCAGCCUCACUUUUCUCACCCACUAACAGCCCUGUAGAGCCUCCCCAAGAUCCAUGAUUGCUGGGGCUGCGUUGCCCUUUGGGCAGUACCUAGAGAUGCCACACACACACACACACACACACACACACGCACACGCACACUUGCACUACACCCAUGCACACACUCAACCAUUCCUAGAGAAACACUGCUCUACUCUUGCUUAUUUGCACCAGGUGCCUUUCUAUCAAGCUCAAAGCUCUUGGGAGGUGAGCUUUUGCCAUCCCCACCCCUACCCCAGGUUUUGUUUGAUGCCGGCUCUACUGUACCUUG
rnacentral:lncRNA from 1 species